GAUGAACGCUGGCGGCGUGCCUAAUACAUGCAAGUCGAGCGAAGAGACGAGGCGUUUGCUCCUCUUACGUUAGCGACGGGCGGGUGAGUAACACGUGGAUAACCUACCUAUAAGACUGGGAUAACUGCGGGAAACCGGAGCUAAUACCGGAUAAUAUAUUGAACCGCAUUGUUCAUUAGAGAAAGACGGUUUUGCUGUCACUUAUAGAGGGAUCCGCGCCGCAUUAGAUAGUUGGUAAGGUAACGGCCUACCCAGGCAACGAUGCGUAGCCGACGUGGGAGAGUGGUAGGCGACACGGGAGGUGAGACACGCACCAGACUCCUGCGGGAGGCAGCAGUAGGGAAUGGUCCGCAGUGGGCGAAAACCUGACGGAGCAAGGCCAAGUGAGUGAUGAAGGUCUUCGGAUCGUAAAACUCGGUUAUGAGGGAAGAACAAAUGUGUAUGUAGAUGUACACGUCUUGACGGUACCUAAUCAGAAAGCCCCGGCUAACUACGUG
rnacentral:rRNA from 1 species